rnacentral:lncRNA from 1 species
AACCAACUCCAUAUUUUUACGGUUACAGAACAACGCUACAUCCAAUCUAGCCUUGAUGUUGUCCUUUGUCUUCCCCUUCACAUCCAUGACGGUGUUGAAAAUGUUCUCAAACACGUUCUUUUCAAUGUGCAUGACAUCAAGGUUAUGGCGGAGAAGAUUGGUCUUCCAAUAAGGAAGCUCCCAAAAUAUACUUCGCUUCACCCAAUUAUGGUUCAAACCAAAACCA